AUCCGACCUCAGAUCGGACGAGAUUACCCGCUGAAUUUAAGCAUAUUACUAAGCGGAGGAAAAGAAACUAACAAGGAUUUCCCCAGUAACGGCGAGUGAAGCGGGAAAAGCCCAGCACCGAAUCCCCCAGUGUCACGCUGGCGGGAACUGUGGUGUGUGGGACGCCACCAGUCGCGCCGGAGGGUGCCGAAGUCCUCCUGAUCGGGGCUUCACCCAGAGCGGGUGUAAGGCCUUUGCUGGCACCUCUCCGCGCGGCCGCGAGCGUCUCAGGUUCCGGUUGUUUGGGAAUGCAGCCCAAAGCGGGUGGGUAAACUCACUGUUUCCGCCCGUCGGGUCUGGACUCGGAUCGCUUGCGGUCAUGUCCUCUGCGAGCUACGACACCGCACCUCUGGCUUCCGCCGCUGUAGAGACCCACCUGCUUUCUUGACGUCGGGGCAACCGGCUCAGCGCGCAUCUUUAAGCCACACGUAGUUAGCCUUACAUCCGACCUCAGAUCGGACGAGCUUACCCGCUGAAUUUAAGGAUAUUACUAAGGCGGAGGAAAAGAAACUAACAAGGAUUUCCCCAGUAACGGUCUCGAGUGAAGCGGGAAAAGCCCAGCUCCGAAUCCCCCAGUGUCACGCUGGCGGGAACUGUGGUGUGUGGGACGCCCCCAGUCGCGCCGGAGGGUGCCGAAGUCCUCCUGAUCGGGGCUUCACCCAUAGCGGGUGUAAGGCCUUUGCUGGCACCUCUCCGCGCGGCCGCGAGCGUCUCAGGAGUCGGGUAGUUUAGGAAUGCAGCCCAAACCAGGUGGGAAACUCCAA
rnacentral:rRNA from 1 species